rnacentral:rRNA from 1 species
CGGGUGAGUAACACGUGGUCAACCUUCCCUACAGUGGGGGAUAACUAGCCGAAAGGUUAGCUAAUACCGCAUAACAUCUAUGAGUGGCAUCACCUGUAGAUCAAAGGAGCAAUCCGCUGAAGGACGGGACCGCGUCCCAUUAGUUAGUUGGUGGGGUAAUGGCCUACCAAGACUCCGAUGGGUAGCUGGUUUGAGAGAGCGACCAGCCACACUGGGACUGAGAAACGGCCCAG